AAGUCGAACGGAAACGAAGGAAGCUUGCUUCCAGGCGUCGAGUGGCGGACGGGUGAGUAAUGCAUAGGAAUCUACCCUGUAGUGGGGGACAACCUGGGGAAACUCAGGCUAAUACCGCAUAAUCCCUAAGGGGGAAAGUGGGGGACCUUCGGGCCUCACGCUAUUGGAUGAGCCUAUGUCGGAUUAGCUAGUUGGUGGGGUAAAGGCCUACCAAGGCGACGAUCCGUAGCUGGUUUGAGAGGAUGAUCAGCCACACUGGGACUGAGACACAGCCCAGACUCC
rnacentral:rRNA from 1 species